GUUUUGAGACGGGGCGCUGGGCCGGGCGCGGUGGCUCAGGGCUGUAAUGCCAGCAUUUUAGGAGGCAGAGGUGGGAAAGGAUUGCUUGAGGCCAGCCCGGGCAAGAUAGCGCUACUCUAUCUCUAUUUUAAAAAAAUAGGAGAGGCGCCACCCCAUUCUUACUUAGGCGAAUCACUUGCUUUUCCUCGAGAGCAUGUUAACCCUUCGGGAAUGAUAGGACGACCGGGGUCUUCUGGUGUCAGACCCGCGUGCAGUGUGCCCUUUUGUUCUGUUUUGCCUGCUCAAAGUACCUCCCCGCACCCCACUCCUACCUGGAUUCUUCCCAGUCGGAGCUAUUUCACGUCCACACACCCUUCCCGAUUUCUGUAGCCUGGGAUUCAGGAAUCCAAGGCUUCCCCCACCUCAGCAGGGCUCAUCUGUAUUGUGGUUAUGGGUUUCCAGGUCACAGCUCCAGCUCUGAUUCCAUCCUCGGCCCUGGGAGAGUUUAACUUUUCUGGAUCCGCUUCUUCCCCCGGGAAAUGGACAGUGUGACAGUACCUGCCUCAAGGGGCACAUGAGACAGCUCUGCCUGAGAGUGAGCAAGGUGGGGCUGGGUCCCCCCUAACGCCCAGACCCC
rnacentral:lncRNA from 10 species